GAUGAACGCUGGCGGCGUGCCUAACACAUGCAAGUCGAGCGAACAGACGAGGAGAUCGCUCCCUUGCCGUUAGCGGCGGACGGGUGAGUAAGACGUGGGUAACCUACUUAUUAGACUGGGAUAACAUCGGGAAACCGCAGACAAUAACGGAUCAUACUACCAACCGCAUGGUUCGAUAGUGCAUGGUAGCUUUGCCGACACAUAUAGCUGAACCUGCGCCGUAUUAGCUAGUUGGUAAGGUAACGGCUUACCAAGGCAACGAUACGUAGCCGACCUGAGAGGGUGAUCGGCCACACUGGAACUGAGACACGGUCCAGACUCCUACGGGAGGCAGCAGUAGGGAAUCUUCCGCAAUGGGCGAAAGCCUGACGGAGCAACGCCGCGUGAGUGAUGAAGGUCUUCGGAUCGUAAAACUCUGUUAUUAGGGAAGAAUAAACGUGUAAGUAACUGUGCACGUCUUGACGGUACCUAAUCAGAAAGCCACGGCUAACUACGUG
rnacentral:rRNA from 1 species